rnacentral:tRNA from 1 species
AUCCACUAGGGAGAUUCGAACGCGCGACCCCUGGUUUGCGAGACCAGUGCUCUAACCUCUGAGCUAUGAUGGC